AGUGAACGCUGGCGGUAGGCUUAACACAUGCAAGUCGAACGGCAGCACAGUAAGAUCUUGCUCUUACGGGGUGGCAGUGGCGGAAGGGAGAGGAAGACAUCGGAAUCUACUUUUUGGUGGGAGAUUGGGUAGGGAAGCUUACGACAGUACCGCACACGACCUACGGGUGAGAGCAGGAGAUUUUCGCACCUUGCGCGGUUGAAUGAGCCUAUGUGGGAGUAGCUAGUUGGCGGGGUUAAGGCGCACCAAGGCGACGACCCGUAGCAGGUCUGAGAGGAUGAGCAGCCACAAUGGAACUGAGACACAGUCCAGACUCCUACGGGAGGCAGCAGUGGGGAAUAUUGGACAAUGGGGGCAAGCCUGAUCCAGCCAGACCGCGUGGGUGAAGAAGGCCUUCGGGGUGUAAAGCCCUUUUGUUGGGAAAGAAAAGCAGCAGGUGAAUACCGCGCUGUUCUGACGGUACCCAAAGAAUAAGCACCGGCUAACUUCGUG
rnacentral:rRNA from 1 species